UUCAGCUCUGAAAGUCCGGCCACCACACCUUGAAUUCCUACUCUCAUUUGGCUAAUGUAGAUAAUUGAUCAGGGAUAGAAAAGUUCUGAAGAAAAGCCUCCCCAUCUUGUACCCUCCUGUGGGGAAGAGUCUGGCUGCUGUCCGUCUCCCGGUGACCAGAGGAGGAAGAACCACCUAUUUUCAGGGAUACAACACAGGCUCACCGGCGACAUUCACGAUUCUAAAGGUGGCUUCCUGGCCUGGGUGAACCCAACUUGGAAACAGAUGAGGAAACAGGUUCAUAAGAACAAGAUCGGGGCGCCUGGGGGGCCCAGUCAGUUG